UAAAUCUACCUUCGAGUGGGGAAUAACAGUCGGAAACGACUGCUAAUACCGCAUAAUGCAGCGGCAUCGCAAGAUGACAGUUGUUAAAGGAGCAAUUCGCUUGAAGAGGAGCUUGCGGCAGAUUAGCUAGUUGGUAAGGUAAUGGCUUACCAAGGCUACGAUCGGUAGCCGACCUGAGAGGGUGGUCGGUCACACUGACACUGAAUAACGGGUCAG
rnacentral:rRNA from 1 species